GCCGACUUAGCUCAGUAGGUAGAGCAACUGGCUUGUAAUCAGUAGGUAGAGCAACUGGCUUGUAAUCAGUAGGUCACCAGUUCGAUUCCGGUAGUCGGCACCA
rnacentral:tRNA from 1 species